rnacentral:tRNA from 1 species
UCUUUUAAAGUAAAAAUUACAUUUAAUUUCGACUUAAAAUUCUGAUUAAUUAAAAAUUAAUCUAAAAGAA